rnacentral:rRNA from 1 species
AACGAACGCUGGCGGCAUGCCUAACACAUGCAAGUCGAACGAGACCUUCGGGUCUAGUGGCGCACGGGUGCGUAACGCGUGGGAACCUGCCCUUAGGUUCGGAAUAACUCCCCGAAAGGGGUGCUAAUGCCGGGUAAUGUCUUCGGACCAAAGAUUUAUCGCCUUUGGAUGGGCCCGCGUUGGAUUAUCUAGGUGGUAGGGUAAAAGCCUACCAAGGCGACGAUACAUAGCUGGUUUGAGAGGAUGAUCAGCCACACUGGGACUGAGACACGGCCCAGACUCCUACGGGAGGCAGCAGUGGGGAAUAUUGGACAAUGGGCGAAAGCCUGAUCCAGCAAUGCCGCGUGAGUGAUGAAGUCCUUAGGGUUGUAAAGCUCUUUUACCCGGGAUGAUACUGACAGUACCGGGAGAAUAAGCUCCGGCUAACUCCGUG